GGGUUAGGGUUUUGGCGCGGAAGGAGCUCUAGCUAUGGCGCGUGAGGGCGCUGCGACGUUCUGGCUCGUGGCGCCGCCGCGGCGCUGGAUCGGAAUCCGCUGACGACGAUGCCAAGGCGGCAGCAGGUGUGUGGCGCAAGAAUCGCGACCCGGAUCGGGAAUUCAUGUCGCGGGCCUUGUCGAUCUCUCUCCCCCAUGGCAAGAGCGCGCGGAUUUGCGACAAUUCAAUGCAGUUCCAGCGCCUGGAUGAGCUCCUCAGCCUCCUCCGGAAUCUCAAGGCGGGAUUGUCGCUGUAGGUGAGAGAUCGGGAAGGGUCAAGCCAACGCAUGCCCAGAAUGGGUGGCUCUUCCAGGGAUUCUUACACGAAUGUAGAUACAGCAGUAGGCACGAUUGUAUGGGUGAGGCGCAGGAAUGGAUCGUGGUGGCCGGGGAGAAUUAUCUCGGACUCCGAGCUCUCUACAGCGAAUCUCCUCUCACCCAGAUCGGGGACUCCCGUCAAGCUUCUCGGGAGGGAGGACGGCAGCGUCGAUUGGUACAACAUCGAGAAAUCAAAGAGGGUGAAGCCUUUCCGCUGUGGAGAUUUUGAGGAGUGCAUCGAGAAGGCCAAGGCUGUAGCAGGAUUGCCAACCAAGAAGAGGGAGAAGUAUGCACGGCGAGAGGAUGCUAUUCUCCAUGCUUUGGAGUUGGAGAGGCAGCAGCUGGAGUGCUCGUCCGGGUUCGUGGAGUCCUCGGCAUACAGAAAGAGGGAACAGUAUGACGGGGAGAGGGAAGUAAGCACUGUCGAAGGCACUCGUUCACGCUCACGCUCACGAUCACGACGAAAACGGGUGGUAAAACCGAUAGUAUCAGACGAUGACACGGAUUCGGGGAAUUCUCGAGUUUAUCCAGAAGAGGACGAUAACUCUGGUGGGCUUUCCUCCUCCGGUAGGGGGCAAGAAGAGCAAGAGUGGAACCCCGACGAGGACGAGGUGGAAGGACUUCGUAGAAUGCGGGGAUUGCAGGACUUUGGACUUCGAACAGCCGGAAGAGGGAGAAGGUCUGCCAGUGUCUACGAUGAGAACAUAGAGAAUCACCAGAGUUGCGUGACUCAGAGUGGGAAGGGCUCAACAUUAAAUGGCAUUAAAGUUCCAUCGUUUACUACAAAGAGGAAGAGAACUGUGGCUGGCGGGGCAGGGGAGGAAGGAUCGCUUAGGAAGCGUGACCGCAGGAGGCCGCUUACGCAGGUUUUGGAAAGCAGUGCAAAGUUUCUGUCGGGUGACGGUGAGCUGAUGCACAUAGUAGACGAGGAUGAUGCUCUUGUAGAAGGAAACCAGGCUGUAGGGGGGCUGGAGAGGAUGGGUGUGGAAUUUACUUCUUCAGUCGCCGAAGGUUGCAGAGAGGAUUUUUCUAACAAUACGACAGGUGUAGCCGACAGGACUUGCUGCAGUUUCUCCGGUCAUGCCACCGGUGAUUGCUGCGAUGGAUCUCAUCCCUCUGAAGAAGUAAGUCUGAGAGGAAGAUUUUUUUUCAGCAAUGAACUAUUUGAAAGCGCACGAAGAGGGUACGAAACGGAUCACCAGAGGGCGAGACGGUGUUUGAGAAAGCUGCGAGAAGAAGGGGCAGCACCGAGAAGGAUUCUUGUAAAGCAGGAGCACGACGAAGGUGCGUCGGGUGACACGGAACAGGUUACAGCGAAAAGACCACCCUCGAGGCUCGGACAGAUCAAGACCGAGAAGGAAACUGCAUGGUACCAGGAGGAAUGGCUGGACGUUCCAGUGGAGAAAGACAGCAUCGUCCAGAAGCCGUCGGUGCCAAUGGUUCUACUAGCGAGCAAACUGACCAGGCGAGCUGUAGUUGGAUACCCCGUGGUUGUGGAGGCCAUCGAGGGCGGUACGUCUGACGAAGAACAGGAUACCUGUUUUAGACAAGAAGGGAUUGCUGGAAGCUCUUCUUCGCGGAGAAAGGCCAAGGCGCCACACAAGGAGAGCCUGUCCAAGAGGCUGGUGAAGAAGGUGGUGGCGUCGUCGAGGAAGACGAGGACGCUGUCAUCGAUCGCGAGCGAGCAGAGGCCCGGUGUACAUUUACAGGGGACGGGGAUAGGGGUGAAUAACACAGGCGGAGGAAGAGCUUGGAACGGACGUGAGUUUGAGGAAGAGAACUGGCCUGUGGCUGCUUGCGUUCCCGUAAGGGUGGCUCUCAGCAGGAUCAAGGCAGCAGUGAGUGGACCUCUCGAGACUUGACGACGACGACGACGAACACACUGCUGGACGACAGUGAAGCUACGACUGGAAGAAGAAAAGGGCCUCUCGCUUCCUUUUGUUUCCUGAAAGAAAAGCUUUGUACAGUCGCUUCGAAAGCAUGGAGCCCCGGUAAGUUAGAACCUGGUGAGGAUAGAGCUUGGAUCAACUGACCAAGUUUCUGGGAAACAAAGAAAAAAUUCUUUCAGGGGGGUAACAUUUGUGAGUGCCAAGAGCUCCGAAAGUUCUUUUUCUAUCUUCAAGAGGCAUGUACAUAGUGUGCUACCACCCCUGGUAACGUAGAACGAAGAGUUCUUUUUUUCCGUGGAAAAACAACGAAACUCUUGAGAAUAAAACACUACGUCGCAGUAGUGAUCUUCAAAGUUCU